rnacentral:rRNA from 1 species
UACGUAGGUGGCAAGCGUUGUCCGGAUUUACUGGGCGUAAAGCGCGCGCAGGCGGCCAACUAAGUCAGACGUGAAAUCCCUCGGCUUAACCGGGGAACUGCAUCUGAUACUGGAUGGCUUGAGUUCGGGAGAGGGAUGCGGAAUUCCAGGUGUAGCGGUGAAAUGCGUAGAUAUCUGGAGGAACACCGGUGGCGAAGGCGGCAGCCUGGACCGACACUGACGCUGAGGAGCGAAAGCCAGGGGAGCAAACGGG